UGCGUAGGCGGGUUUCUAAGUCAGAGGUGAAAGCCUGGAGCUCAACUCCAGAACUGCCUUUGAUACUGGAAGUCUUGAGUAUGGCAGAGGUGGGUGGAACUGCGAGUGUAGAGGUGAAAUUCGUAGAUAUUCGCAAGAACACCAGUGGCGAAGGCGGCUCACUGGGCCAUUACUGACGCUGAGGCAAAGCUGGGGAGCAAACA
rnacentral:rRNA from 1 species